AUGGUCGAAUUCAAUUGCGCCACUGGCGACCGCAUGCUUUUUCAGGAAUGUGAGGGGUGGAAAUUCAUCAUUGAGGUCAGGAAAGAACACAGGAGGACCUACAUCUGUGGCAUUGGGUGGGAGGACUUCAUCAGGUUGAACAAUCUCAGUGAGGGAGUUUUGCUCCGUUUUGUACUCGAUGGACCAGUGCCAAAGUUGCAGAUUUGCAUGGUUUCGCCACCUCCCAACCAGGCUGAUCUAGCGCUUGAGGCUGUUGUGUUCACGGAAGACAUCAAGAAGAAGGCAAGAAAGAGUGCAAAGCUGUAUGAAACUCUACUGUAUUCAAUCCUUAGUUUUCUGGUCUCCAGUAUAUUCUUGUUGUGGUCAGUUUUGAACUAG
rnacentral:rRNA from 1 species